GGGUUUGCUUGCAGGCCCUUGUGCACGUAGUACAUCCUUGUAUAUAUAUACACGUCGCGAUUGCGAUCGCGUUCGCCUCCGACUCCGGCGGUGGUUGCAGGGGGGGCACGGCGGCGUCUGCGGGCGCGUGAUUUCCGAAAUCCGAGAUGCCACAGCGAGAUUGCCAAAAUCCUGUGGCUAAUCUAUGGAAUACUCCGGCGGUUCCUUCCAUAUACGGAACUAAUUACUGCACGGUUUAAUUACUCGAUCGCUGAUUUAUCGGAUGAGCUAGUAAUGCGGACGGAUCGCUGAUUUAUUACCAUAUUCGAUAUUUCCCGAGUUAUGGCCUUACCAUACCUGGAUUGAUAGCCUUUGGGGUAAUUUAAAUUUAUUACCAUAUUCAAAAUUUCCUGAGUUAUGACCUUACCAUACCUGGAUUGAUUUAUUACUAUACGUGGAUUAAUUAUGAUUUAUUACUAUAUGAUUUAUUACUAUACGUGGAUAGCCUUACCAUACCUGGUGGUAAUUUAAAUUUAUUACCAUAUUCGAUAUUUCCCGAGUUAUGGCCUUACCAUAUCUGGAUUGAUAGCCUUUGGGGUAAUUUAAAUUUAUUACCAUAUAAUUGCCAUAUUCAAAAUUUCCUGAGUUAUGACCUUACCAUACCUGGAUUGAUUUAUUACUAUACGUGGAUUAAUUAUGAUUGAUUACCAUAAAUACGUUGGGUAUUGCCGGUCAGACGAGAAAAGAGAAAAACCGGUGGGAGGGGCUGGUGGGAGGUGGGACGAAGAAAAACCGGUUGAAAAUAAACCGGUUGAAAAUAAACCGGUUGAAAGUGGGGGGGACUAUUCAACCAAUUCGUCCAUUAGGAGUAGAGAUGGAGCAGUUGGUGAAUAGUCCGCGCGGUUUAUUUUCGCUGGUUUAUUUUCGUCAUCCUUCCAUCAUCGGUUUUUUUCGUCAUCCUCCCACCUCUGCUUACUCGCUGCCCUCCAUCGAAAUAAACCGGUGCCAAAAAAAUCCGUCGUUCUAUCCUACGAUCUCUCAAGGACGCCCCAACCCCCAAUACGAGCCGCCGCCGAGAUCCAAGACGAGCCGCCGCGGAGGACCGAGUGGAGCCGCCGCCGGCGCUGGCCAGGCUCCCCACGAUGUGCGCGCCGGGGCGCCGCUCCCGCUCCCGCAGCCGAGCAUAGCAGCAGCGGCGGAACCCCGCCGCCGGCGAGCUCUCUCUGGCGGAGGAGGGCGGGGGCGAGCUCGCUGUCUCCCUCGCGCUCAACACCAGCGGGACGCAGGCUUCGACGUGGCCACCUACAUAGGCGCGCUCCAGGCAAGGCGCUUCGGGAGGUGGAUUCUUUGGUCGCCGCGGAUGGCAUCCACGCACGACCUCGUGACACAGAAACUUUGCCAAACUUCUGGUGGGCGUCGUGUGCACCACAGACGCGCAGUUCAAAGGCAGAGGUAUGAUUGGAAUAAUCAACUUUUGAUGUCAGUGCAAAGCACAUCAAUGCCUUUUGUCCAAUUACUAGAAGCUGUGGCUUGUUUGAUAAAUCUUAAACUGUCGUGGAACUGCAAAGUAGUUGGGUAUCUUCAGCAGAAAAAGAUUUAUUGCUUAUUUCGGGGAAUUAUCAGUGCAGUACCGCAAAAUGCAAGAAAUAUGGAGCACUGUGAUAUAUCUGCUAUGGAGCAAGUUCUCAUGCUUACUGCUUCACAUGUUGGUGGUAAUCAAUGUUGUUGUCCAGCUGUGGAUCCAAGUUGGAGUUUUUCCUUGCAGCUUCUAUCCAUUCUUUUGGCAUCGUUUGCCAAACUUCAAGAAGGUUUUCUAUGCUAAUGGGCUCAGCAAAUAUUAUACCCAUCAGAUAGCUUGCUAUUUGCCCAGUCGUGCUGAUGUUCUCCCUAAUGAUAUAUCAGCUAAACAGCCAGGAUAUGCAUGUGUUCUUGCAAAAGUACUCGAAGCUGCACCUUGGAUUUUGUCCGAACCAAAGUUCGCUUCUGAUAGAGAAGAUCAAAGAAUGUGUGGGGGAAUCAUCUCCAGGUUGUCUCAUGUUCUCGUUUACAUCACAGAUGAAUGAUGCUCGCAUGCUUCCCCUUAUGCAAUAUGUCGUUUUCCUUGCCAUGACCGAAGCCAUCAAAGAUUUGUGUUGUGCUAAGGGACUUCCAGAGCUAGAUGUAAGGAUAAAGUGGCCUAAUGAUCUAUAUCUGAAGGGUUAAAAGUUGGUGGCAUUCUUUGUACCUUAUCAUAUGAGCCGAAAGUCUACAAUAUUUGCACUGGGUACUGCAAUGCUAUGGGUUGAUAAAGAAAGAAGGGAAAUAAACGAGAAAGCAAGACAAAAUUGGCAGAAUCACGACAAAGGACGUACCCUGCAGUGAAUUGAGAGUCGCUACUGGAAUAUUUCUUUUUGACCGCAUACAUCCUGAGACUCUUGUUUUGGACCUUCACGCUGUUCACUAGAUGGUUUUUCUAGGUUCUGCCGCCGAAGAUGAAGAGAGUGCUCCUGUGUUUCUUCGGAGCGAAAUGGAAGAGUUGCCUCAACGUAUCUAAGGUCCCACUGAACCAGGUUGAGAAGUGGAAGAAGCAGAGGGAGAAUGAGACAUUUGUAGGGCCCCUCGAAAUCGUCUGUUUGAGAGUCUCCUCGGUUGCUUUCGUGUCUGCGCUACUACUGACUUGUAGUUGGAAUUUAUGCUCCUGUCAUGUACUCUCUUCCAACAUUCGCUGCAGAACAUCAAGUGAUGCUUUUCUCUAUGUUGCAUAAAUAGUUCAGCAUGCUUAUGUAUUCUCAGCAUGCUUAAAUGUACGCAUGUCUUGCCUGGGACUUGUGAAUGCCGAGAACCUACGAGACAUUUUUGGUUCUAAGUCAUGCUGAUGUGAGAGAAUAUGUUGUUGUUAUGUGACAGCGCAAUUAUGUGAUGAUAUAUUGAUUCCAAGUCAAGAGAAUUAUGUUGUUCAUGUGAAGAACCGUUGCAAG
rnacentral:rRNA from 1 species